rnacentral:lncRNA from 1 species
UUUUAUUUAAUAUUUUCAGAAUAUCUAUGGUACAGACAGUAUUAUUAGCUCUGUUUUACCCAGGAGAUCUUGAGACAUGAAGUAAUAUCUAAGCCCUCCCAGAGAGGAAGUCAUGGAGCCCAGAUUUAAAUCCAUUUUCUUAGGGAAGGAUAUUGCAAGAAGAGCGAGUCUGAUAAGCACAGAUAGAGGACCAGAAAAGAAGUCUACCAAUAUGGGCUUGAGUACAUGCAACAGAAAAAAGCCUGCAUAGAGAAAGGACUACAUUAUAGGAAACUUGGGAUAUCAUGCUAAGAAACUGGACUUAAUUCUAUAAACCAUGGGAAGCAUCAGAAGGAAAUUUAACACGAAAGUUGAAUAAUAGUUAUGUCUUUAGAAAAUUACUCCAAGAGAAGGAGAGAAGAUGAAAUCCUGGUUCAGCUUCUUCAGAGGAAUGUGGCUACAUCAACAAGUUUAAAUGUAUGUCUAUUUCCUUUUGGCUCCUUUCUACCUAGAUUUUACUAGAUCUGAUCCAGCGAUUUGUACAUUUAUACACGAUUUUGUUAGGAGCCUUGGUUUCUCGCAACUUUGAUAUUGUGACACUCUCUUAUUCGACUUUAUUAUCUGUGCUACCUUCUCCUUGCCCUCUUUUGAAAAUCCAUAUGGCAUCUAUUCAUUUAUUUUGGUUACCAGUAUAAGCUCUCUUGAAAUAUGGCAAAUGAAUAACAUAUUGCAAGACACUGAUCAAAACAUCUUACAGAUUCUCUUUCCCUGUCUCUGUGGAGAGCUCAUUUCAAAUAAGCGAGCAAUUGUGCCUAGUUUCUGCUCUCACCCUUGCUAAACUCCUCCAAACAGCUAUGCAACUCUGGUUCCUGUUCCUCUUCCCUCUCCUUCCAACCUUUUCAAGCUAGUGUUCUUUGAACCCGUAGCUCUUCAGCAUUUCUAAAGUAGAUAAAGCUAAUCUUUCUGAGCUCUUUCCAUUUUCCUCUCCAUUCCUUAUCUAGAAUAUAGGAAAAAAAUACUGGAAUAACAAGGUGGAGAAGGUUCAAAAACUUAGCUUUCUCCUUGCCUCUUCUCUUCUUUGCCUCUAUCUCUGUCCCCCUCUCAUAUAAAUAUGUCCCCAAAAUUACAUGGGAGACACUUAUACUAAAAAAUUAUUCAUGUUUUAUCUGAAAUUCAAAUUUAACUGAGUGUUCUGCAUCUUUAUUCGCUAAAUAUGGCAACCCUAUUUACUGGGAGAGUUAUAAUUUCAUGUAAUUUUUUUCUUUUCAAUAAAUAUAUACAUUUAGCUGUUAUGUAAGUUUUAUUAAGAAUAAAUUGACAAAUUAGGUAAAAAUCUUAUUUUUGACUAUCUAUUCAAAUUUGUGAUUCUGCGAAUAUGGCCAGUAUAAAGAUCCUUGUAAAACACAUUGUAGUUAUCUAUUUACCUGCAUUCUUCUUUAAUCCAUGACAUCAAAAAGGAAAGGACCAUACUUCACUCAUUUUUGUAUUACAUAGUGUUGGCACAUAGUAGAAGCUUAAUAAAUAUUUCUUGAACAGACUGCAUACUUACAAAAUGGUAGGCUGGCCCAGCAACAAAAGUGUAUGUGUGUGUGUGCACGUCCAUGCAUGCAUGUGUGCGUGUGAUUCAGGAGGGCAUAACAUGUACUGAACGCUAACUUUAUACCAGCACCCUGCUAAAAGCACAGCACCAAC